GGACCCUGAUCUCAGUUGGAGCCUCUAGAUGCUACUGUAAUAUAAACAAUAACUCGUGGCUGCUUGAAACCAGUACUUCCCCGCUGGUUGCAAAGUGCCUGCCCCCAAAAGAAAAAGAAAUGCUCAAGCCACAGGUCAUGAUGGGUGGUGUAAACCAGAAAAAAAAAACCUAUAGAAAAAGCCCCUGUAGAUAACUUGCUGUUAGGUCUGUGAGGAGGAUGGAAAUUCCAUUUUGCAAAGGGGUUUUGUGGUGUUGACAAUGGUGUUGAUAUUUGGCUUUCAUUCCAACUUUGAAAUUCUCCACAAAAGAAAAUUCUUGGCUUUUUCAAUGUAUAUUACAAUCUAUCUUAUAUUACAAAACAACAAAAAAUAUUGAAAUGGAAGCUAAAAAUAUUUUGUUCUACAAAUGUUGAAAUGGGACAACUUCCCCCUCCCUCCCCGAGGUUUUCUCCACAAUGAAAUGGCUGUGAAAUGGGCAUUUUGAGAAGCAGUUCCGUUUUGAUGGCACUGCCGUCUCUGAUGGAGAAUGGCUCAGCUGAAGUUUUUCUGAGCACCUCUACUUUUUAUAUCCUAAGACAGCUGGAAGCUGAAUUGCCCACUCCUCAAGAACAGCGUUCUGUUUUACACUAUCCAGAGUUGAUUAGCAGUGCAGUCGCACCCCCCACCCCCAUACAGGAUUCUAGUCUGAAAAUCCUACUAGAUUCAUCACAGAAAUUUAAUUUGAAACAGGUGUGUAGCUUGGUUACAAACUCAGCCAGUAGUUGAUGGGGUGGGAUGGGGAAAGGAGUCUGUAAACUCACGCAAGUGCAUGCUUUGCUCAACAGUAUGUUUCCCUUGGUUACUCCUCCCGCCCCUACUGCAAGAUUUAACAGAGGAAGCAGUGUUACUAUUCUUCAAAGCCUUCCUAGCUUCAGCAAUAGAGAAUUUAAACAGGAAGCUUCUGAAGAUGGAGACAACUCAAAGAAAUGUCCCUACUUACCUUGCCCUGUCGAUCUUUAACUUGUUGUGUUGCUGCCUCCCGCUUGGAAUAGCUGCUCUCAUCUAUUCUCUCAGAGUAGAGAAUGCAGCUGGGACAGGUGACAUGGAGCGAGCGUCCCAAGCUUCCCGCACUGCCCGCAUACUGAAUAUCAUCGGGAUUGUCGUAGGAGUAAUUUUCCUCAUCAUUAUAAUUGUUGUCGUGGUAGUGGGAAGAAGCGCCAAGUGAUAGAAGCCAGCGUCACCUUCAAAAAACUCACCAGUGCUGGGCAAUAGCCAUGUAUCCAGUGCGAGCCCUCCUACCUACUCAAAGAGCCAGCUGGGUGCAAAAAGCCAAAAAUGGGAGUUCUUGGCACCACUGACACUGCCAGCCAGAAACUGCAUCAUGCACAAGCACCAGCCUUUUUAGAAGCAAUUUCUCCAUAAUUAAUUGCUUUGCGCUUUCUAAUUAACCAGAUUAACAUGUUUUUCUCUAUUGGUACGCAAAUAUAUUGUAACAAGUUACAAUAAAAAAGGAUUUGUAUA